AACUUUAGCGCUCCAAACUGUGACUGGACAGAAAUUGCUCAGUGCAGUAGGAUCCUCUCUCUUCCUCCUUCAAGGGAAGCUCAUCAGUCCAGAGGUUCGUCCCACAGGACCCAGAAAGUCCUGUCAGCUUGGGCUCUGGUGUCAAAGGGAAGGAUUUCACUGAGCACUGCAAGUCAUUGUUAUCCAGAAUGCCACCCCUCCGCCCCCUACCACCACCACCACCACAAGCUCGGGCGGUCACAUUUCAUAACCUGUGGUCCCUGCUGUGUAAGCAUGUACUGCCACAAGUUCUCACUGACCCGCUUUUAAAAUAAGAGAUUUCACCCCUGGUAACUCUCUGCCUGUUAAAGUGGUGCUGAUCCGGAAGUAGAACACCAGAGGUGGCUUUCGUGAGAGUAUAUCUGAGUCACAAGUGUCUAGGUGCAUUUAUGAUCGAAUAAUAAAAACAGGAAGACCGAAGCAGCCAGCCUUUUCUACCCCCCAAAAAAUGAAGAAAAAAUA
rnacentral:lncRNA from 1 species